rfam:Myotis davidii contig81549, whole genome shotgun sequence.
GGCAGUUCUCGGGUGAUGCUCCCCAGAAUCAGGCUCCCUCCUCUCUGGUUCCAGAUGCAUCACCUGAGAACCACA